rnacentral:lncRNA from 1 species
GGCUGCCCUGCACUGGCCGCAGCGCUCUCCCUGCGGCUCUGCCUCCUGCGCCUCGCACUCUGCGCCUCGUUGCUCCUUUUCCGUGCACCCGAAUUUUCUUCCUCUUUCCCUCCCCUCACUUUCAUUCUCCCUCCGUUCCUGAAGCAGCCAGUCAAAGCAUAUUUUUCUUGAUCACAGUUCUUUCAAAAAACCCCCCACAAAAUUCCUUUUGCUUUAGCCUUUUAAGGCCUUUGGUGUUGUUCUGCUUUGUUUUCUUGCUUUGCUUUUAAAGUAUGAUUUUUUGCUUUUUCUCUGGCCUCGGCACUGUGCUCGUGGGGCUUUAUGGAGCUGCGGCAGUGCCUGGGGUGUGAGUUGGUGGCUGCUGUGUGGCCUGGCCUCGCAGCAGCGGCCCCCACCUUGCUCAGCAGCGCCAGACAGUUCGGUCCACCGUGUGUGCGACAGUGGUCUCUAAGGUCACAGGACCCCUGUGGCCUGGCGCCGGCGUGGCGUGUCAGCCCACGUGUGCGCUCUGUGAUGUCAGGACAGGCAGGUCGCCCGGCACACGUUUCUCAGACUCUGUCCUCCUCUGUGCCCACCAGUGACUGAAGUGUCGCGUGCAGCCUGUGGGACACACGUCAUCCACUCACUUCGGGCCAUCCCCGACUGCCGAGACCUCUGCUGCGUGUAGAUGAUGCAGUUGGAGAAGUGUUUUAAUCAUCACAGAAGCCGCUUCUCGUGGGAGCGUCAGCAGAGCAUCAGUGUCCCCAGCACUCACUACAUCCUCACUUGGAACUUGAGUUUGGUGUCAUCGUCCCAGCGCUCUGGGAAGCUGAGACAGGAGGGUGCCAAGCCUGAGUCCAGCCUGGGCAGCUUAGCAGCUCAGCAAGCUGGGGUCUCAAAAUCAGAAACAGCUGGAGGUGUAGUACAGGGAAAGGUCCUGCAUUCAGUCCCAGCACCACACACACACACAUGCACACACAGUAGAGUGUCAGUCACUGUGACCGUCAUGAGUGACCCUGGAGCUGCGAAUGGUGACACCGCAGAUGGCACUGCUGCCCGUCCCAGGGGUGCCAGGCAGGGCUGUGGGGUCUUGGCUGGGUCCCCCAGGGUCAGCCGGCUGUCGGUGCCCACCCUUCCUGCCUCUGCGUCCCCAGGAGAGGAUGGAGCCCAGCAGCCACCCGAAGCUGCCGUCCACGGCUCAGCGCCCAGGUCGGAAUUCCUUCUAGAACCCUCUACACAAGGACCACAGAACCAAAUGUGUUACUUCUGUUUUUAUUGCCUCUGCUCUAAAGCAGGCUUUGGAUAGUCUAAAUGCUUCAGAAGAAGUUGCUACUUCUGGAUGACAUUGACCUUGGGGUGCAUCGUGAAAGGCUUAAGAAAACAAACUUCUUUUCUCAGAUCAGUUGACUACUCGUGUAAGUCAGUCUCUUGGGCCCUUUCUUAGGACUCAUCAGCCUAUGAGCCUUUUUUGUAACCAGUAUUACACUGAUUGGUUUGGGGUUUUUUCUUGUUACUGAUUUUUGUUUUUUGUUUUUACCUGGUGGUACUGGGACUGAACUCAGGGCUUUCACACUGAGCUACAUCCUUUUUUUCCAUUUUAUUUUUUAUUUUGAGAUAGAAUCUUACUAAAUUACCAAGUUGCCUAAACUGGGCUUCAAUGUGCGGUCCUCCUGCCUCAGCCUCCCGGAGUGCAGCCCAACCCCCAGCAGUACCGCCCUGUCGGGGUCGCUGCAGCUCUGUGGUGAGUGUUAAAGUUGGAAGUGACCAUCCCCCAGCUUUGUUCUUCAGUACUGGGCUGGCUAUUUUGGCUCUUGGGCCUCCACGUAGACGUCAGAUUCAUGUGCUGGCACCCACAAGAACCCCUGCUGGAAUUACGCGUGGUGUCGUGUUGCGUCUCUAGACCAAGACGGGAAAGGCAGCCAUCUGGCCAUUCUAGAGCCUUCCCGUGCAGUGACAUGGUUCCUCUUCUGGUUACUUAGCCCUCCUCUGGUUCAUUUCUUCAGAAUGACGUAGCUUUGUCAUAGAAACCUUGUCCAUAUUUUGUUAGAGUCAUACCUGAGGAUUUCAUUUUGGGCGUGCUAAGGUAACUGGUACUGCAUUUUUAUUUCAAAUUGUACUUCUCCACUGCUGGUAUAUAGGAAAGCAAGGACUUCCUUGUGUUGAUCUUGGAUCCUGCAGCCUUGCCGCGAUCACUUACAAUGUCACUAUCAUAGGAGACAGGGCAGGAGCGGACAGUGUUACGGGACAGCCAGGGAAGCCUGCUGCAUAAUCUGGAAGAGUAGUGACUCUCUUGGCUGUAACCAUGUUCUGGGUGCGUAGGCAGCUGCUUUUGUUCUUAGCAGACAGACUCUCAAGUCUUCAGGGAUAAAGUCUGCAAGUGACUCUCAAGAGGUUGAGGGAAAAAAUGUGUAUAAGUGUGUGUGUGUUUGGGGGGGGUGUCCACACAUGUAUGUGUGUGUAAAUGAGAGGGAAGAAGAAAGGGAAUAUGACAAGAUAUUAACUGCUGUGUUUGUUGUCUAGGUAAAGAGUAUGUGGUGCUCAUCGUAUUUUUCUUGACGCUUUUAAAAAAUUACAAAUGAUCUAAAAAGCCCGAGUGUUUCUUUCUUGCAGGUUUUGUGAAGGUGUGAAAUUUUAAGUUUUAAUUUAACAUUUAAAAAUAAAAGGCCACUUACCCUGUCUUGUUGCCGUAGGUAAAAUCCCUAACCCUGUUCGUCACCCAUUACCCACCGCUGUGCGAGCUGGAAAGGAGCUACCCGGGCCAGGUGGGGAAUUACCACAUGGGCUUCCUGGUGACCAAGGACGAAGGCCAGGCAGGUCCAGGUAGGCGAGGUCCUGGGCUGGCAGCGCGUGCCCGUGGUUGCCGGGGUUGUGCGAGUAGAAGCCCACUGCUCAUGCACAGUGUGGUGCCAGCCACAGGUAACACUGUUCGCACUCAUGUUCACACUUGCUCCACCCUCGGUCAGGAGGGAUGCACCCCUCUGCCAUCACCAAGUCCUGCCUGAGCUCCUUCUCCUGUCCAUCCCAGCAGAGCUCCGCUGGCCCCCUUUCUUUGUAAUAAGAAGCAGUGAUUUCCAAGCUAUAUACAAUAAAUUGCCCCCAAAA